GCCGUAAUAGCUCAGUUGGGAGAGCGUUAGACUGAAGUUGUUUACGGAACAAUCAACUAAAGGCCCCCGGUUCAAUCCCGGGUUCCGGCA
rnacentral:tRNA from 1 species